rnacentral:rRNA from 1 species
CAGUCGCCGCGGUAAUACGGAGGGGGCUAGCGUUGUUCGGAAUUACUUGGCGUAAAGCGCACGUAGGCGGCUUGGUAAGUUAGAGGUGAAAGCCUGGAGCUCAACUCCAGAAUUGCCUUUAAGACUGCCGAGCUAGCAGGUGAGAGAGGUAAGUGGAAUUCCGAGUGUAGAGGUGAAAUUCGUAGAUAUUCGGAAGAACACCAGUGGCGAAGGCGGCUUACUGGCUCAUACUGGACGCUGAGGCGCGAAAGCGUGGGGAGCAAACAGGAUUAGAUACCCCGUAGUCCCUGUCUCUUAUACC